GGCCUUCGGGUUGUAAACCUCUUUCGGCAGGGACGAAGCGGACGGGACGGUCCUCCAGAAGAAGGACCGGCCCCCUACAGGACCCCCCCCGUUAUUAUAGG
rnacentral:rRNA from 1 species